rnacentral:rRNA from 1 species
AUACGUAGGGGACGAGCGUUGUCCGGAAUUACUGGGCGUAAAGGGCGCGCAGGCGGAUAUUUAAGUCAGCUGUAAAAGGCAUGAGCUCAACUCAUGUAUGCGGUUGAAACUGGGUAUCUAGAGUGCUGGAGAGGUAGGCGGAAUUCCCGGUGUAGCGGUGAAAUGCGUAGAUAUCGGGAAGAACACCAGUGGCGAAGGCGGCUUACUGGCCAGCAACUGACGCGGAGGCGCGAAAGCCAGGGGAGAAAACGGGAUUAGAGACCCCGGUAGUCCUGGCAGUAAACGAGGUAUGCGGGUUGUGGGAGUAGCGAUACCUCCGUGCCGAAGUUAACGCGAUAAGCAUACCGCCUGGGGAGUACGGUCGCAAGAUUGAAACUCAAAGGAAUUGACGGGG